rnacentral:rRNA from 1 species
AUUGAACGCUGGCGGCAUGCCUUACACAUGCAAGUCGAACGGCAGCACGGGAGCAAUCCUGGUGGCGAGUGGCGAACGGGUGAGUAAAGUAUCGGAACGUGCCCAGACGUGGGGGAUAACGUAGCGAAAGUUACGCUAAUACCGCAUACGAUCUAUGGAUGAAAGCGGGGGAUAGCAAGACCCAGCGAGACUGGAGCGGCCGAUAUCAGAUUAGGUAGUUGGUGGGGUAAAGGCCCACCAAGCCGACGGUCUGUAGCUGGUCUGAGAGGACGACCAGCCACACUGGGACUGAGACACGGCCCAGACUCCUACGGGAGGCAGCAGUGGGGAAUUUUGGACAAUGGGCGAAAGCCUGAUCCAGCCAUGCCGCGUGCAGGAUGAAGGCCUUCGGGUUGUAAACUGCUUUUGUACGGAACGAAAAGGACUGCCCUAAUACGGUGGUCCCAUGACGGUACCGUAAGAAUAAGCACCGGCUAACUAUGUGCCAGCCGCCGCGGUAA